UACGGGGGGGGCAAGCGUUGUUCGGAAUUACUGGGCGUAAAGGGCCAGUAGGCGGCCAACUAAGUCGGAUGUGAAAUCCCCAGGCUUAACCUGGGAACUGCAUCCGAUACUGGAUGGCUUGAAUUCGGGAGAGGGAUGCAGAAUUCCAGGUGUAGCGGUGAAAUGCGUAGAUAUUGGGAAGAACACCUGAGGCGAAGGCGGGUUGCUGGGCUGAUACUGACGCUGAGGCGCGAAAGCCAGGGGAGCAAACGGG
rnacentral:rRNA from 1 species